UACGUAGGGUGCAAGCGUUAAUCGGAAUUACUGGGCGUAAAGCGUGCGCAGGCGGUGAUGUAAGACAGGGGUGAAAUCCCCGGGCUUAACCUGGGAACUGCAUUUGUGACUGCAUCGCUGGAGUGCGGCAGAGGGGGAUGGAAUUCCGCGUGUAGCAGUGAAAUGCGUAGAUAUGCGGAGGAACACCGAUGGCGAAGGCAAUCCCCUGGGCCUGCACUGACGCUCAUGCACGAAAGCGUGGGAGCAAACAGG
rnacentral:rRNA from 1 species